rnacentral:rRNA from 1 species
AUGGACGCCUUCUCCGCCGCUCCCGUGACUCCUCUCCCCGAGCUAGCAGCUCUCAUGGCAGCUUGCAACGUGAAUGCCCGAUACGAGCUCCUGCAGCCCAUUACCAGGGUCGUGGUGUCCCCGGCGGCCUCGGUGGAGCUGGAAUUCCGCCUGGUCGCCGUCAGGAUCCGCACUGGCGAAUUCCUUCUCUCCACCUGCCGCCCGGCCGGCGAGCCCAACACGUGCGUAGCGCUGGACCAGUACUUUGAAUUCUCCAUCGCCGACAUCAGGUUCUUUCAAGGGAAGAUCUACGUCCUGUCCAAGAUCAACGAGACGCUCCGCGUCCUCGAUCUCAACAAUGGCUACCUCGACGAGCUACCGGCAUCACCAUCUUGCAUCGAGGUCGUAUGCGGAGUGAGGUCCGAGUUCGCGAUGACAGAGGAGCCCCAUCUGCAAAAGGAUCCAUGGCCGUACGGCCACGUCGUUGCGGGGCGGUAUCUGGUCGAAUGUAAUGGCAAGCUGCUCAUGGUCAGGCGAUGGGCCCGCAAACCUUUGAUGAGCUUUAGUUACUUUUCGAUGACCGAAUUCCGAGACAAGGAUGGGUACGAUCUUGAACGGACUCGCCGGUUCAAGGUCUUCGAGGUAGACCUCGGCCGAAGGAUGAGCCAUGGCCGGUGGAAGAAGGUCCAGGGCUUGGAUGGUUGGGCGAUGUUCGUGUCGUCGCGAUGCUCCAAGGCAGUAACUGCAGCAAGCCAUGGAGCUCGAGAGGACUGCGUCUACUUCGCGCACCAGUGGGGUCGGAGAGACCCGGACAAUCCCAUCGGCGGCUCCGGGGUGUACAACAUGAGAGACGGGGCGAUCACGCGGCCGCUGUUGCCAGAGCCUGCGGCGGUCGCUGGGUCACUGCCAUGGAGCCGACGGUUUCCAGCGUGGGUAUUCCCUAUGGAAGUUUAA